rnacentral:ncRNA from 1 species
ACAAUGAUACUUUCGCAUAGCCAUAGAUUCAAACAAUGGGUGCGACUCUGUGAGAACCACAGGGAGGUUAGAUUCCUAUG